GACGGAGGGUGCUAGCGUUGUUCGGAAUGACUGGGCGUAAAGGGCGCGUAGGCGGCUCGUGAAGUCGGGUGUGAAAGUCCGGGGCUCAACCCCGGGAGGCGGGCGGAUACUGCCGGGCUAGAGUCCGGAAGAGGCGAGUGGAAUUCCUGGUGUAGCGGUGAAAUGCGUAGAUAUCUGGAGGAACACCGGUGGCGAAGGCGGCAUCCUGGACCAACACUGACGCUGAGUGAGCGAAAGCCAGGGGAGCAAACGGG
rnacentral:rRNA from 1 species